AGGAGAGCCACAGACUCCAGAAGCAACACAUGACCAUUGGCCUCCCCAGAACUUCCUGGGACUUGCCUCACACCCUGCUUUCACGCUCUAGGCUCCUUUCUUUCUCUGGUGAUAUUUCCUCCCAAUAACUCUGAGCUGGAGCAGCCCUGAGCUGGAGAGACUCUGAACUGGAGCAGCCCUGAGCUGGAGCAGCCCUAUGCUGGAGGGACCCUGAGCUGGAGCAGCCCUGUGCUGGAGGGACCCUGAGCUGGAGCAGCCCUGUGCUGGAGGGACCCUGAGCUGGAGCAGCCCUGUGCUGGAGGGACCCUGAGCUGGAGCAGCCCUGUGCUGGGACCCUGAGCUGGAGCAGCCCUGAGCUGGAGAGACUCUGAAUUGGAGCAGCCCUGAGCUGGAGAGACUCUGAGCUGGAACAGCCCUAUGCUGGAGGGACCCUGAGCUGGAGCAGCCCUGUGCUGGAGGGACCCUGAGCUGGAGCAGCCCUGUGCUGGAGGGACCCUGAGCUGGAGCAGCCCUGUGCUGGAGGGACCCUGAGCUGGAGCAGCCUUGUGCUGGAGAGACCCCGAGCUGGAACAGCCCCGAGCUGGAACAGUCCCGAGCUGCCUCUCUUGUUAGGAGUGAGCUGGUUUAUCUGUGGGUCACGGAGGUGUACUGAGCUCCAUCUGCAGAUCAGUUAAUCGCUAACAAAUGUGGGCGAGUUUUCACCCAGCACAGACCACAGGCCGUGUCUCAGACGCUUUGCCAAGCCAUUUUGGAGCUGUAAGCAACUGGCCUGCUUCCAAGCUGAAUCUGUUCUGGCACACAGAGGCCAUGAGCCUGUGAAGCUCUGACUCUGGCACUGGGAUUGGGUUCGUGAGGAAUCAUGAGCCAUGAGAUGGCCUCCAGUCGGUCAGCAGGGCAGGAAGGGACUAGGACUCAGGAUUAGGGGCCGAGUCAUCACUGACCUUCACAGCGACCUCUGCACUGGCAGAGGUGGGAAGUGGGGUUUUCAGAACGCCUGCUUCGGUUGCUGGGCACUCUGCUUGGUUAGAGAGAUGGUGCNNNNNNNNNNNNNNNNNNNNNNNNNNNNNNNNGACAAGAUGGAUGAGGAUGAGACUAAUAGCUUCCAGGUGUGGCCUGGCUUCUGGGGUCUCCAUGUUCAUAUUGGGGCAUUAAUAAGCUUCUGCAUCGAGAGUGGUCUAGCUCAGCAUAGUCCAGACUGUAGUCCACAGAUGUGAGAGGCACCGAGACAAGAGGCCUUCAGCUCCAGUUAUAAGACUGUGCUUUGUUACGAGCAGAGCAGACGCUGUCUGUGGGGACCCUAGUUCUGGACUCUCAUCAGGACGUUGGCAUCAGUGAACGCAUCUCAGACCUUUACUGAGGUAGUCACCGUUUUAAUCUGUCGGUCGUGAUUACAGUUGACAGACUCAAAAUAAAAAUUAAGAAAGUAUGAUAGGAAGAGCUCAUAGCUUGUGCCCUUAAAGGGAUCGACUUCAGACAUGGCUGGAUCCAGGCACUCGAAUGGCAGGAUCAGGGAAACAACCCCUCCAUCUCUCCCUCCCACCAUUUUGGUUGUCAGUGGUUUCUCCCCUCUCAGGGUAGUUCUGUUCUUGUACUUGUUUCCAUUUUCAGGAGCCCUAGGAGAAAGGCAUUUUUUUUUAUCCCAAAAUUUAAACCUAAGUACAAAAUAUGAGUCUUACAUAUCUGUCUCUAACCCAGUCUCUGAAGCCAAGGGCCCGGCAUCCACCGAUGGCUCAACGCCUCUACUGUUGUAGACAGAAACCCCAAAUUCAAACUUUUGCAACACACAGUCUAGAAAGAGGAAGGAGGGGAGUCAGCUAGUCGGGUUCCGUGAGCUUCUUGAGACAAGCUGGAAGGUGACAUGGGCCACACAGAAUUAAGGGAA
ensembl:lincRNA 5031425F14Rik RIKEN cDNA 5031425F14 gene